rnacentral:rRNA from 1 species
UGGGCAACCUGCCCCUAGCUCUGGGAUAACUCCGGGAAACCGGGGCUAAUACCGGAUACGACCUCGGAGGGCAUCUUCUGGGGUGGAAAGUUCUUCGGCUAGGGAUGGGCCCGCGGCCUAUCAGCUUGUUGGUGAGGUAACGGCCUACCAAGGUGACGACGGGUAGCUGGUCUGAGAGGACGACCAGCCACACUGGAACUGAGAUACGGUCAGACUCCUACGGGAGGCA